UACCAGAGGGUCAUCUCCUAGUUGGCGA
rnacentral:sRNA from 1 species